CCUACGGGAGGCAGCAGUAGGGAAUAUUGCUCAAUGGGGGAAACCCUGAAGCAGCAACGCCGCGUGGAGGAUGAAGUUUUUCGGAUUUUAACUUCCUUUUGUUAGAGAAGAUAAUGACGGUAUCUAACGAAUAAGCACCGGCUAACUCCGUGCCAGCAGCCGCGGUAAUACGGAGGGUGCAAGAGUUACUCGGAAUCACUGGGCGUAAAGAGCGCGUAGGCGGGAUAGCAAGUCAGAUGUGAAAUCCUAUGGCUUAACCAUAGAACUGCAUUUGAAACUGUUAUUCUAGAGUAUGGGAGUGGUAGGUGGAAUUCUUGGUGUAGGGGUAAAAUCCGUAGAGAUCAAGAGGAAUACUCAUUGCGAAGGCGACCUGCUAGAACAUAACUGACGCUGAUGCGCGAAAGCGUGGGGAGCAAACAGGAUUAGAUACCCGAGUAGUC
rnacentral:rRNA from 1 species